UAAGGGCUUCCCUGACAUAGACGACUUGCUUCUUUCAAAUUUGGUCAUCGCCCUCUUGCCUUCCUGUGUGAGUCAGCGUGGCUGCCCUUGUGCACGCCAGGCUCCUGUCUGUGCUCCGGGGCCUGUUUCCUGGCCUCCCCAGAUGAGGAAACUGAGGCACAAAAAGGUGAAGUCCUGAGCUCACAGUCAUGCAACCAGCAGGUGGUGAAACACACCUCCAAGCUGCCUGCCUCCUAAGCAUCAAGCUUUGUGGCCCAGGAUCUACUUCAUGCUCCAAAUAUUCAUGGACCUUCCCAGGACCUCAACAAAACAAAACCAUGAAGAAAAACCUUGACAUGAACCCCAAAAAAACCCAGUCAGCAAUAUUUUAAGUUAAAUUUUGAAACAAAUCCAAACGGGUUCCUCCCCAU
rnacentral:lncRNA from 10 species